GGACGACCAGCCACACGGGAACUGAGACACGGUCCAGACUCCUACGGGAGGCAGCAGUGGGGAAUUUUGGACAAUGGGCGCAAGCCUGAUCCAGCAAUGCCGCGUGAGUGAAGAAGGCCUUCGGGUUGUAAAGCUCUUUUGUCAGGGAAGAAACGGUUCGGGCUAAUAUCCUGGGCUAAUGACGGUACCUGAAGAAUAAGCACCGGCUAACUACGUGCCAGCAGCCGCGGUAAUACGUAGGGUGCAAGCGUUAAUCGGAAUUACUGGGCGUAAAGCGUGCGCAGGCGGUUGUGCAAGACAGAUGUGAAAUCCCCGGGCUCAACCUGGGAAUUGCAUUUGUGACUGCACGGCUAGAGUGUGUCAGAGGGGGGUAGAAUUCCACGUGUAGCAGUGAAAUGCGUAGAGAUGUGGAGGAAUACCGAUGGCGAAGGCAGCCCCCUGGGAUAACACUGACGCUCAUGCACGAAAGCGUGGGGAGCAAACAGGAUUAGAUACCCUGGUAGUCCACGCCCUAAACGAUGUCUACUAGUUGUCGGGUCUUAAUUGACUUGGUAACGCAGCUAACGCGUGAAGUAGACCGCCUGGGGAGUACGGUCGCAAGAUUAAAACUCAAAGGAAUUGACGGGGACCCGCACAAGCGGUGGAUGAUGUGGAUUAAUUCGAUGCAACGCGAAAAACCUUACCUACCCUUGACAUGUCCGGAAUCCUUGAGAGAUCAGGGAGUGCUCGAAAGAGAAUCGGAACACAGAUGCUGCAUGGCUGUCGUCAGCUCGUGUCGUGAGAUGUUGGGUUAAGUCCCGCAACGAGCGCAACCCUUGUCAUUAGUUGCUACGAAAGGGCACUCUAAUGAGACUGCCGGUGACAAACCGGAGGAAGGUGGGGAUGACGUCAAGUCCUCAUGGCCCUUAUGGGUAGGGCUUCACACGUCAUACAAUGGUACAUACAGAGGGCCGCCAACCCGCGAGGGGGAGCUAAUCCCAGAAAGUGUAUCGUAGUCCGGAUUGUAGUCUGCAACUCGACUACAUGAAGUUGGAAUCGCUAGUAAUCGCGGAUCAGCAUGUCGCGGUGAAUACGUUCCCGGGUCUUGUACACACCGCCCGUCACACCAUGGGAGCGGGUUUCACCAGAAGUGGGUAGCCUAACCGCAAGGAGGGCGCUCACCACGGUGGGAUUCGUGACUGGGGUGAAGUCGUAACAAGGUA
rnacentral:rRNA from 1 species